UACAGAGGUCUCAAGCGUUGUCCGGAUUCAUUGGGCGUAAAGGGUGUGUAGGUGGCGCCGUAAGUCGGGUGUGAAAUUUCGGAGCUUAACUCCGAAACUGCAUUCGAUACUGCGGUGCUUGAGGACUGGAGAGGAGACUGGAAUUCAUGGUGUAGCAGUGAAAUGCGUAGAGAUCAUGAGGAAGACCAGUGGCGAAGGCGGGUCUCUGGACAGUUCCUGACGCUGAGGCACGAAGGUCAGGGGAGCAAACGGG
rnacentral:rRNA from 1 species